rnacentral:rRNA from 1 species
AUACGUAGGGGGCGAGCGUUGUCCGGAAUGAUUGGGCGUAAAGGGCGCGUAGGCGGCUUUGCAAGUUAGUAGUGGAAGUCCAUUUUUCAAGGAUGGAAGUGCUACAGAAACUGCGGAGCUUGAGUGCAGGAGAGGUUAUCGGAAUUCCCGGUGUAGCGGUGAAAUGCGUAGAGAUCGGGAGGAACACCAGUGGCGAAGGCGGGUUACUGGACUGCAACUGACGCUGAGGCGCGAAAGUGUGGGGAGCAAACAGGAUUAGAUACCCUGGUAGUCCACACUGUAAACGAUGAAUGCUAGGUGUAGGAGGUAUCGACCCCUUCUGUGCCGCAGUAAACACAGUAAGCAUUCCGCCUGGGGAGUACGGUCGCAAGAUUAAAACUCAAAUGAAUUGACGGGG